rnacentral:lncRNA from 1 species
GCACAAUACACAACAUGUAGUGUAUUGUAGUAUGUAUGUAUACAUACUGUGACAAAACAAGACAAUUCUCCCUCCAACCUUACAAAGUUGGGUAUAAAAGACAAAACUGUUUUGUAGCAGCACAAGCUUGAUUUUUAAACUACAUCUGAAACCACCUAAGUUGUGUAUCCGCUUAAAGGGCUGCCGGUUCAAAUGUUAUAUUGCCUAGUGGAAACUUUGUCAUGGUAGCACUAAAAGGAAAAAUAUUAUAUGCUAAUAUAUAUAUUAUGUAUAUGCUAGAAUUGUGCCGUUUUCCAAAGAUAAGGCUUUGUUUUCCAAGACCUUUUCAUUUCUAGUGUCAAUAUUAAAUUGGCAUUUCCUUGUAGUUCUUUCUUGCAGUUAACAUUACUGUGGAAAAAGAGGGACACAGAAAUGGUUGUUGCACUACUCCCUUCACAGAUUAAGGGGCGCAGCAUCCUUAUCCACCAUAGUGAGCUAUGCUCACUUCGACCAUACCAGUGGUUGACAGGGGAGGUUAUUGAGGGCCUGUUUCAUGUUGCUGCCCACACAUUCAAUGUGGUGGACACCGUCUACAUUAUGAAUCACUACUCAGCAGGUGGGAUUUUGUUCAGUGACAGAACUGAACUACCUCGUCACAGUUUACCAAAGCCUUUUGGUCUUGUAGGUAAACUUUGACAACUAUGAAGCUGUUCUGUCAUUUGUGCUAGUCAACGGCAACCACUGGAACUUACUGGUUUGUAAUUAUUUUAUUGUUGGUUUUUUUAUUUGAUACUUUUGUAUUCUGUAUUAUUAGUCUUUUAAUGCACACCACUGAACUAUUAGUGUAAUAUUAAUAGUUAUGUUCCUCUUUGUUCUGUCACAGUACAUUAAUGCAGAAACCAGCACAGUAUUUCUGAUGGAUCCAGCACGAUUGUCAUCAGAGCUUGAGGACUCUGAACAUGCUGCUAAAAGAAUACAGGAAUACUUAAGGAUGCGGAGGACACGCCAUGGCAAAGAAGACUGGUUGGAUAUUAGGUGGAAAGGGGGAGUUAUGAGCCACCCAGUUCAACAGGAUGGAAGUAGCUGCGGUGUCAUUGUUGUCAAGAUGGCAAAAGCAGUGAUGGAGGCAUUUCCUCAGAUCCCAGAUGUUAAAUUUGAGACAUCCAAAAAGGCCAUGAAAAAGGAGAGGAGAGAUCUGGCUCUCGAAAUCCUAAAGGCAUCAGUCUUUGAUGAGCACACUUGUUGCGCAAUGUGUGCAGCCGUGAAGCCUCCGGGAUCUGGACCUCCCAUUACAGACUGGGUGAGUUGUU